CCCUUAGAUGUUCUGGGCCGCACGCGCGCUACACUGAUGCAGUCAACGAGUUUCGCCCUGCUUCGAUAGAGGUGGGUAAUCUUCUCAAACUGCAUCGUGCUGGGGAUAGAUUAUUGCAAUUUUUAAUCUUCAACGAGGAAUUCCUAGUAAGCGCAAGUCAUCAGCUUGCGCUGAUUACGUCCCUGCCCUUUGUACACACCGCCCGUCGCUCCUACCGAUUGAAUGUUCCGGUGAGCUCUUCGGACUGCGCGGUCUGCAGUUUCUGCGUUCCGUGCGGAAAGUUGCGCAAACCUUAACAUUUAGAGGAAGGAGAAGUCGUAACA
rnacentral:rRNA from 1 species